GAUGGACGCUGCCUGGAGAGAACAGCAAGUCCCGCCUUCAGCAUUUCAUGCCGGUGGCCCAGCUCAUAUCAGGUGUCUGAAGGAGGCAGGUUCUGAGGAUUUGUGUUCUGAUGACUUCUGAAGCUCCUACUCCAGGUUCAAGGGCAGCAGCUUCCAGGAGACCGCAAACACUUCACAUUUUUGGUGGCAUGACUCCUGGCUCAAAAUAUGCAUAGAAUCAGAGAUAGACCACACAGCUUUAAGGAACUGAGGCUGACUUUAUGGAGCCAAUAAAGCCCCUUGGAAAACCAGAAGUCUGUUGCCUUGCUUGCAGUAUUCCCAGCAGCUUUCCCAGGUGUGGAAUUGCUGAAUCAUCUGAUAACUCUGUUAAACUGAGGAACUGCCACACUGUUUUCAUGACCCUGACAGCCUUGAGGAGUAUACGCAAUUAGUUUACUCGUGAUUAGACUGUGGUUAUUGGCUUUGAGAAAGGAUACCACAGAAAAUGAGUAACUAAGUCUGCCCUGACCUCAGCAGUAGGAGGGGGAAGGUUCACCUCAUGGAAGGAAGUGCAGAGCUCUUUAUGCAGAUGACAGAACCUGUGCUGUUGGGAGGCUGAGAGGAGGCAGCAAAUGAUAUCAGCUCCUCAUGCCAGUGGCUCAGCUCAUAUCAGGUGUCUGAAGGAGACAGGUUCUGAGGAUCUGUGUCCUGAUGGCUCCUGAAGCUCCUACUCCAGGUUCAAGGGCAGUGGCUUCCAGGAGACCCCAACACUUCACAUCUUUGGUGGCAUGACUCCGGACUUAAGUUAAUUUCUAGGACAGAGAUCAGAGUUCAGCGGUUGCUAAUUGAUAGACCCUGCCUUCCUACAUAUACAGUUUGAUAUGGGUGAAGCAAUUUCUUAUUGAGCCCCAGGAAGAAGAAAUAGUACAGAAGAGAAAAGAAUAGGAACGGGUCAGCUAGACAGAAGAUGAGAGUCAUGAAACUUGUGUCCCAGUUGCUGGAUCCUUUGACCACAGGGCCUUAGCCUGAAGAUGUAAGGCGUUUUGCUUUCAACUAAAGGUGUGGCGGUAGAGAAGUAUGAGGAGGUAUUUCGCAUCUGGAAGACUUGCUGGCGCCUGGCGGUUGCCGUAGAAACCUGACGUCAAUACGGCGACCGUGACGACAUUUUAAAGGAGACGGACGCUGCCUGGGAGACAGCAGUUGGCUGAAUCUUACUGUGACAUGGCUGGAUGAUGAAUGAUCUGAGGACCCCUGCACUGGUGACUGGGAACAUGCUCCAGUUCUUCCUGUGAGUGAAUUGAAGACUAACUAGGAGAGCUUCUUAUAAUCCUUUAAAGAAGAACGUUUUUGUGGUAGGUGGAAUUCUAAGAUGGCCCCUAAGAUUCCCGCCCUUUGGUGUGCACACCCUGUACAGUAACUUCCCCUUGAUUGUGGGCGGGCUCUGUGAAUAUGAUGGCAAAGGGAUUUUGCAGAUUUUGCUUGUGAGUUAAUCAAAAUAAAAUUAUCCUGAGUAGGCCUGACCUAAUCAGGUUAGCCGUUAAAGGAGGUAAGAAGCAACUGUUGACCUUGA